UUAACUUAGAUUUUAAAAAUUUCACAACAAAAUAAUUUUCUGAACUGCUAAUAACAUUUUUACUCAAUCCUGUCCAACCCUGGUUCACCCUAUUCCUUGUCUCAAGUCCCUUCGGCUUCAGCGAGGACUCUAUAGAAGAGUAGAAAUCUAUGACUUAUCUAGAUCAUGGUGAAUGUUGAUAUGUUUCACACUUUGUGAAUUUAUCGUGACCCGGUCUGAAAAAACUUCCCUUGAAAAGGAAUUUGAUAUUUGUUUUCUAAAAUAAGGCUAUAAGAUGUCUUGCCAUGAUAUUAUGAGUUCUAUAACGGUAUGCUCCUGAUUGGCUAACUUUUGGAGUUGAGAGCUUCAGUUUACUCUGCUUUUUGGAAGAAUUUCCUUGAUGUUAAAUGUUGAUUUGCAAAUAAAAUUGUUCAUUCAAAAAAUUGUAAUUGUAAUGCAAUGCUCAUGCAAAAAUUUGAAAUCAAUUAAUUAUUGAAAUGAAGGUGAUAUACAAUGAAUGAAUCACAAGUUUAUUCAUGAAAGACAAUGAGAUAUGAUACCGACACAGAUGAUUAGCAAAUAUCUAGGAGUCAGGUUAACAUCUUUUUUAGGAUGCUUUCAAAAGAAACCGUGCUUCAGUUACAUCUUUUACAUGUUGUAAUGUGGCCUGGUUCACAUCUUUUGAACAAAAAGAUAUGAG
rnacentral:lncRNA from 1 species